CAUUAAAGAGUUCUAUAACUCCCAAACCCAUGUGAACAUACCUAACGUUGCCUCGGCAGGUCGCACCUACCUUGUAGCACCCUACCCUGUAGGGCCUACCCGGGAGGUGCGGGUAAGCCUGCCGGCGGCCCACCAAACUCUGUUUGAUAUUGAAUUCUGAACCUAUAACUAAAUAAGUUAAAACUUUCAACAACGGAUCUCUUGGUUCUGGCAUCGAUGAAGAACGCAGCGAAAUGCGAUAAGUAAUGUGAAUUGCAGAAUUCAGUGAAUCAUCGAAUCUUUGAACGCAUAUUGCGCCCAUUAGUAUUCUAGUGGGCAGGACCGUUCGAGCGUCAUUUCAACCCUUAAGCCUUCGUUGCUUAGUGUUGGGAGCCUACGGCAACGUAGCUCCUCAAAGUUAGUGGCGGAGUUGGUUCACACUCUAGACGUAGUAAUUUUUUAUCUCGCCUAUUAGUUGGACUAAUCCCCUGCCGUAAAACCCCCAAUCUAUAUCAAGGUUGACCUCGAAUCGGUUCAGACAAACUCGCUAAAUUGAAGCAUCUUAGUCAGCGAAGGAAAAGAAACCAACAGGGAUUGCCCUAGUAACGGCGAGUGAAGCGGCAACAGCUCAAAUUUGAAAUC
rnacentral:rRNA from 1 species